rnacentral:rRNA from 1 species
GCUACGGGAGGCAGCAGUGAGGAAUAUUGGUCAAUGGACGAGAGUCUGAACCAGCCAAGUAGCGUGAAGGAUGACUGCCCUAUGGGUUGUAAACUUCUUUUAUAAAGGAAUAAAACGAGGCACGUGUGCCUUUUUGCAUGUACUUUAUGAAUAAGGAUCGGCUAACUCCGUGCCAGCAGCCGCGGUAAUACGGAGGAUCCGAGCGUUAUCCGGAUUUAUUGGGUUUAAAGGGAGCGUAGAUGGGUUGUUAAGUCAGUUGUGAAAGUUUGCGGCUCAACCGUAAAAUUGCAAUUGAUACUGGCAGUCUUGAGUACAGUUGAGGUAGGCGGAAUUCGUGGUGUAGCGGUGAAAUGCUUAGAUAUCACGAAGAACUCCGAUUGCGAAGGCAGCUUACUAAACUGCCACUGACAUUGAUGCUCGAAAGUGUGGGUAUCAAACAGGAUUAGAUACCCUAGUAGUC